rnacentral:rRNA from 1 species
UACGUAGGGGGCAAGCGUUGUCCGGAAUCAUUGGGCGUAAAGAGCGUGUAGGCGGCCUGGUAAGUCCGCUGUGAAAGUCCAGGGCUCAACCCUGGAAUGCCGGUGGAAACUGUCAGGCUCGAGUCCGGAAGAGGCGAGUGGAAUUCCUGGUGUAGCGGUGAAAUGCGCAGAGUAUCAGGAGGAACACCCAAUGGCGAAGGCAGCUCGCUGGGACGGUACUGACGCUGAGACGCGAAAGCGUGGGAGCAACAGGAUAGAUACC